AUGAACGCUGGCGGCGUGCCUAAUACAUGCCAGUCGAGCGAACAGACGAGGAGCUUGCUCCUCUGACGUUAGCGGCGGACGGGUGAGUAACACGUGGAUAACCUACCUAUAAGACUGGGAUAACUCCGGGAAACCGGAGCUAAUACCGGAAAAUAUAUUGAACCGCAUGGUUCAAUAGUGAAAGACGGUUUUGCUGUCACUUAUAGAUGGAUCCGCGCCGCAUUAGCUAGUUGGUAAGGUAACGGCUUACCAAGGCAACGAUGCGUAGCCGACCUGAGAGGGUGAUCGGCCACACGGGAACUGAGACACGGUCCAGACGCCUACGGGAGGCAGCAGUAGGGAACCGUCCGCAAUGGGCGAAAGCCUGACGGAGCAACGCCGCGUGAGUGAUGAAGGUCUUCGGAUCGUAAAACUCUGUUAUUAGGGAAGAACAAAUGUGUAAGUAACUAUGCACGUCUUGACGGUACCUAAUCAGAAAGCCACGGCUAACUACGUG
rnacentral:rRNA from 1 species